AACGAACGCUGGCGGCAUGCCUAACACAUGCAAGUCGAACGAACUCUUCGGAGUUAGUGGCGCACGGGUGCGUAACGCGUGGGAAUCUGCCCUUGGGUACGGGAUAACUCAGAGAAAUUUGUGCUAAUACCGUAUAAUGUCUUCGGACCAAAGAUUUAUCGCCCAAGGAUGAGCCCGCGUAAGAUUAGCUAGUUGGUGGGGUAAAAGCCUACCAAGGCGACGAUCUUUAGCUGGUCUGAGAGGAUGAUCAGCCACACUGGGACUGAGACACGGCCCAGACUCCUACGGGAGGCAGCAGUGGGGAAUAUUGGACAAUGGGCGAAAGCCUGAUCCAGCAAUGCCGCGUGAGUGAUGAAGGCCUUAGGGUUGUAAAGCUCUUUUACCCGGGAUGAUAAUGACAGUACCGGGAGAAUAAGCUCCGGCUAACUCCGUGCCAGCAGCCGCGGUAAUACGGAGGGAGCUAGCGUUGUUCGGAAUUACUGGGCGUAAAGCGCGCGUAGGCGGUCUUUUAAGUCAGAGGUGAAAGCCCGGGGCUCAACCCCGGAAUAGCCUUUGAAACUGGAAGACUUGAAUCUUGGAGAGGUCAGUGGAAUUCCGAGUGUAGAGGUGAAAUUCGUAGAUAUUCGGAAGAACACCAGUGGCGAAGGCGACUGACUGGACAAGUAUUGACGCUGAGGUGCGAAAGCGUGGGGGAGCAAACAGG
rnacentral:rRNA from 1 species